rnacentral:rRNA from 1 species
CCUACGCGCGGCAGCAGUGGGGAAUAUUGGACAAUGGGCGAAAGCCUGAUCCAGCCAUGCCGCGUGUGUGAAGAAGGCCUUCGGGUUGUAAAGCACUUUCAGUGGGGAAGAAAGCCUUGGGGCUAAUACCCUCGAGGAAGGACAUCACCCACAGAAGAAGCACCGGCUAACUCCGUGCCAGCAGCCGCGGUAAUACGGAGGGUGCGAGCGUUAAUCGGAAUUACUGGGCGUAAAGCGCGCGUAGGCGGUCUGAUAAGCCGGUUGUGAAAGCCCCGGGCUCAACCUGGGAACGGCAUCCGGAACUGUCAGGCUAGAGUGCAGGAGAGGAAGGUAGAAUUCCCGGUGUAGCGGUGAAAUGCGUAGAGAUCGGGAGGAAUACCAGUGGCGAAGGCGGCCUUCUGGACUGACACUGACGCUGAGGUGCGAAAGCGUGGGUAGCAAACAGGAUUAGAUACCCUAGUAGUC